AACGAACGCUGGCGGCAGGCCUAACACAUGCAAGUCGAACGAGAUCUUCGGAUCUAGUGGCGGACGGGUGAGUAACGCGUGGGAACGUGCCCUUCUCUACGGAAUAGUCCCGGGAAACUGGGUUUAAAUACCGUAUACGCCCUUCGGGGAAAGAAUUUCGGGGAAGAUCGGCCCGCGUUGGAUUAGGUAGUUGGUGGGUAAAUGGCCUACCAAGCCGACGAUCCAUAGCUGGUUUGAGAGGAUGAUCAGCCAACUGGACUGAGACACGGCCCAGACUCCUACGAGGCAGCA
rnacentral:rRNA from 1 species